rnacentral:rRNA from 1 species
CCUACGGGAGGCAGCAGUCGAGAAUCAUUCACAAUGGGGGAAACCCUGAUGGUGCGACGCCGCGUGGGUGAAUGAAGGUCUUCGGAUUGUAAACCCCUGUCAUGUGGGAGCAAAUUAAAAAGAUAGUACCACAAGAGGAAGAGACGGCUAACUCUGUGCCCGCAGCCGCGGUAAUACAGAGGUCGCAAGCUUUGUUCGGAAUCACUGGGCGUAACGCGUGCGUAGGCUGUUUCGUAAGUCGUGUGUGAAUGGCGCGGGCUCAACCCGCGGACGGCACAUGAUACUGCGAGACUAGAGUAAUGGAGGGGGAACCGGAAUUCUAGGUGUAGCAGUGAAAUGCGUAGAUAUCGAGAGGAACACUAGUGGCGAAGGCGGGUUCCUGGACAUUAACUGACGCUGAGGCACGAAGGCCAGGGGAGCGAAAGGGAUUAGAUACCCCGGUAGUC